rnacentral:rRNA from 1 species
CCUACGGGAGGCAGCAGUGGGGAAUAUUGCGCAAUGGGCGAAAGCCUGACGCAGCGACGCCGCGUGAGGGAUGAAGGUCUUCGGAUCGUAAACCUCUGUCAGCAGGGAAGAACGGUCACUGUGCUAAUCAGCAGUGAAUUGACGGUACCUGCAAAGGAAGCACCGGCUAACUCCGUGCCAGCAGCCGCGGUCAUACGGAGGGUGCGAGCGUUAAUCGGAAUUACUGGGCGUAAAGCGCUCGUAGGCGGUAUGUCAAGUCAAGGGUGAAAUCCCCGCGCUCAAGGUGGGAACUGCCUUUGAAACUGGCAAACUGGAGUGUGUGAGAGGAUAGUGGAAUUCCAGGUGUAGGAGUGAAAGCCGUAGAUAUCUGGAGGAACAUCAGUGGCGAAGGCGACUAUCUGGCACAUAACUGACGCUGAGGAGCGAAAGCGUGGGUAGCAAACAGGAUUAGAUACCCUUGUAGUC